AACGAACGCUGGCGGCACGCCUAACACAUGCAAGUCGAACGGGAUCCUAGCUUGCUAGGUGAGAGUGGCGGACGGGUGAGUAACACGUGGGAAUCUGCCUUCUGGUUCGGGAUAACCGCGGGAAACUGCGGCUAAUACCGAAUGCCCUCGCGAGAGGAAAGAUUUAUCGCCAGAAGAGGAGCCCGCGUCCGAUUAGGUAGUUGGUGGGGUAAAGGCCUACCAAGCCGACGAUCGGUAGCUGGUCUGAGAGGAUGAUCAGCCACACUGGGACUGAGAUACGGCCCAGACUCCUACGGGAGGCAGCAGUGGGAAUAUUGGACAAUGGGGCAACCCUGAUCCAGCAAUGCCGCGUGAGUGAUGAA
rnacentral:rRNA from 1 species